GGCUCAGUGACUCUCUGGUGACAUUAGGGUAAACCACAUAAGUCCCGCCCAUAGAUUUUCUGAGCAAUCGCAGGAGGCGCGCGCCAAAAGGGGCGGUCUCAGCGCGUUUCCCGCGCGAAGUUACUGCUUUUCCCUCCAAUUUUUUUAGAUCCCUAUAUAUGUUGCUGAUGUACUGGCAUUCUGUUUGGGACUGCUCUUCUCGGAGGACGCAAACACGGUGAUGGAUGGUUGACGGGACGAAUCACCGAGACGAACAAGACGAGCCAAACAAUGGAGAAGGGCCGCCACAGGAGCCUGAAGGGAAAGUGUGAGACUCCUGGUCCAACAAGGUGAUGGAUGGUUGACGGGACGAAUCACCGAGACGAACAAGACGAGCCAAACAAUGGAGAAGGGCCGCCACAGGAGCCUGAAGGGAAAGUGUGAGACUCCUGGUCCAACAAGGUGAUGGAUGGUUGACGGGACGAAUCACCGAGACGAACAAGACGAGCCAAACAAUGGAGAAGGGCCGCCACAGGAGCCUGAAGGGAAAGUGUGAGACUCCUGGUCCAACAAGGUGAUGGAUGGUUGACGGGACGAAUCACCGAGAUGAACAAGAAGAGCCAAACAAUGGAGAAGGGCCGCCACAGGAGCCUGAAGGGAAAGUGUGAGACUCCUGGUCCAACAAGGUGAUGGACGAGCAGCCAAGACGAACAGGACAAGCCAAACCCUGGAGACGAGCCACAACAGGAGCCUGAAGCAGCAGGAAAACUGAGGAUCUGAUUAUCUGUCCUCUGAUGACAACUCCUUCAUGUCAUGCAGUUGUUGACUACAGUUUCACCUGCUCAGAGACAGUGAGCGCUGUUGUCUUUACUGGCUGUUUUCAUAAUAAACCCUUUUUUUUUUUAAUCAUA